AAUGGCACACAUCAUUGGCAUAGGAGAUAAAUUUAGUACUAUAAUAUAAGUUUUUGAUACGUUCUUAGGGUGUUCUGGAUAUUUUGUUGUAUGCACUUAGUAUUGUACAAUAGGAAAUGGCACACACUAUUGGCAAAUAGGAGGUGAAUUUAGUAUAAGUUUUUGAUACAUUCUUAAGGUGUUCUGGAUAUUUUAUUCUAUACACUUGGUACUGCAC
rnacentral:lncRNA from 1 species